CCAAUAGCGUAUAUUAAAGUUGUUGCAGUUAAAAAGCUCGUAGUUGAAUUUCAGGCCUGGCUGGACGGUCCGCCCUUCGGGUGAGUACUGCCUGUGGUCGGGUCCUACCUUCUGGCGAAGCGUCAUGGCCUUAACCGGCCGUGGCGGGGAACCAGGACUUUUACUGUGAAAAAAUUAGAGUGUUCAAAGCAGGCAAAUCG
rnacentral:rRNA from 1 species